rnacentral:tRNA from 1 species
GAGGAUUUAGCUUAAUUAAAGCGAUUGAUUUGCAUUCAUUAGAUGUAAGAAUAUAGUCUUGCAGUCCUUA